rnacentral:rRNA from 1 species
AGCGAACGCUGGCGGCAGGCCUAAUACAUGCAAGUCGAACGGCUCUUCGGAGCAGUGGCGGACGGGUGAGUAACACGUGGGAACGUGCCCUAUGAUACGGAACAACUGAGGGAAACUUCAGCUAAUACCGUAUGUGCCCCCAUUCUUAGCGGGAUGGGUGGGAAAGAUUUAUCGCCAUUGGAGCGGCCCGCGUUGGAUUAGCUAGUUGGUGGGGUAAAGGCCCACCAAGGCUACGAUCCAUAGCUGGUCUGAGAGGAUGAUCAGCCACACUGGGACUGAGACACGGCCCAGACUCCUACGGGAGGCAGCAGUAGGGAAUCUUGCGCAAUGGGCGAAAGCCUGACGCAGCCAUGCCGCGUGAAUGAUGAAGGUCUUAGGAUUGUAAAAUUCUUUCACCGGGGAAGAUAAUGACGGUACCCGGAGAAGAAGCCCCGGCUAACUUCGUGCCAGCCGCCGCGGUAA